rnacentral:lncRNA from 1 species
CAGCGAGCACCCCACAGCUGAAGGAAAAGUCAGUGGCUUUACUUACUGAAAGUAUCAGUAAAGAACCUCCCGGAGGAUGUGAAGCUCCAGACACUAGAUGGGCAAGAAGGCUCCAGAUGAGGGGGCCUCGGAGGCAAAGAAAGCGGAAUUUAGAAACAAAUGGUUUGGCUUCUGGAGAAGAAAGAAAGAGUUUCUUGGUGUCUCAGAGGUUUAAAAUGGCUGUGCUAGGUCAUGCCUGGCGCAUGAUGCAAAGGCAAAGGUCAACAGUGUUUUGCUGAAGAGGUCUUCCUGAGAACGCAGCAUUCCUUCCUGGCCUGCUUCACUCAGUAAACCCUCACUGAGGGCUCCUGGGAUGCAGAGGAUCGAAAGAUGAACAAGAAAUCUCAUCUUCAAACUCUCCCAGGCCAGCCAGUGAUGGUUAUACAGUGUGGACAGAGCAAGAAUAUGAGGUGGAUGGCCAGCACGCAGCGCACACACAGACACUGGAGCCUGGGGAGGCAGGAGCCUGAGCGGCGUCUUCAAGGCUGAAUAACCUGGUGGUCACAAGAAAGCAAAGGGAUUUUUAUGUGACAUCAUCUUGGCAAGAAGCUCCCUUACCAACCUUGACCUCCAGGUCUCCAUGGCAACUGCUGCUGGGACAUCAUUGGCACCAGAUUGUGUCCCUUAAAGGCCAC